GAUGAACGCUAGCGGGAGGCCUAACACAUGCCAGCCGAGCGGUAGAGUUCCUUCGGGAACUUGAGAGCGGCGUACGGGUGCGUAACACGUGUGCAACCUACCUUUAUCUGGGGGAUAGCCUUUCGAAAGGAAGAUUAAUACCCCAUAAUAUAAUGAUUGGCAUCAAUUAUUAUUGAAAACUCCGGUGGAUAGAGAUGGGCACGCGCAAGAUUAGAUAGUUGGUGAGGUAACGGCUCACCAAGUCAAUGAUCUUUAGGGGUCCUGAGAGGGAGAUCCCCCACACUGGUACUGAGACACGGACCAGACUCCUACGGGAGGCAGCAGUGAGGAAUAUUGGACAUUGGGUGAAAGCCUGAUCCAGCCAUCCCGCGUGAAGGAUGACGGUCCUAUGGAUUGUAAACUUCUUUUGUACAGGGAUAAACCUACUCUCGUGAGGGUAGCUGAAGGUACUGUACGAAUAAGCACCGGCUAACUCCGUG
rnacentral:rRNA from 1 species